AUGUCACACCGUGGUCCCACAGGGCCACCUCCCACCCCACACCGUGCAGUGCUCCCGGAUGAGGUGAGGUCCCCAUGGCACAGCCCUCACCAGGGCCAGCACUGGCAGCCGGGGUCACCCAGCUCACCCUGCCUGGCAAGAGCUCACAGCCCUGACAGCUCCCAUACGGCAGCAGACAGGUGGUGGUUCUCACUCCCAGGGGUCGCAAUCAGCGCUGCACAGCACUGGCCGGCAAGUGGGUUGGGCGAAAGGCCACCAUCAGUGCCGUGCAGGACAGCGCUGCUGUGCCCGACUUGGACGGGAAUUUAUUUUCCAUCCCAGUUCAACUCUGCCCAACACAAACCCCAUAGAUGUGCCAGGGUCCCCGCACGGCCCCAUCCCCAGCUCCGUGUGCGCUCUCAGAGCUCUCCCCGGGUUCAGCCCCGCGUUGCUCCGCUCCCCGACUCGAGAUGCGCGGUGGCUCCGCGCAGCGGUCGCGCAAAGUCCGCGCAACCCCGGGGGCGUGCGCAAGGCCCAGCCCGCACCUGCCGGCCCCGGGGCCGCCGCUCCGUCCCGGUCCCGAGGGAGCGCAGAGAGGCCGCGGGCCUCAGCGCCGGGCCACGCCGCCAAGUUGCGUUUGUUCGCUGCGGGUUACGAAACACCCAAAAUAUUUACAGAAGGGAGGAGAAAAAUCAUUGCAAAAAAAAAAAAAAAAAGGAAAAAGACUCCCCCAACCCCCAAAAAAAGCGACAAAAAGCAGCAAAAAACGGCACAACAAACCAACCCGGAGCAAAACAAACCGACGGAGCCCAACCGCCACCUCCAGCCCCGACGGCUCCUUCUCACGGCCGCCCCCCGCAGGUGCCCAACGCGCGGCCCCCCCCGACCGGCCCGUUCGCAACGCGCUGCUCGGCCCGUUCCGGCCGCCCGGGGCCGCCCCCCGCCCUGUUUACGGCCGCGGAAAACGAAAGCGGCGGCGGCGGCGCGGCCCCGUUCGGCGGCGAUGGCGGCCCCGCGCCCGUUCCUACCUGCGGCCGCGGCGGCGGCUGCGGCUCCGCUACUCCGGCGGCUCUCGGCGCUCGGAUCCGCCGCCGCUCUGCCCCCUCCGGCCGCCGCCGCCGCCGCCGCCCGCCGCCGCCGCCCGGCCCGGCCCGGCCCGCGAGCACCGCCCCCGUCGCGGCACCGCCCCGCGCCGCCCCGCCCCCGGCACCGACACCGCCCCCGGGCACCGGCACCGGGCACCGGCAGGAGCAGGGGGCAUCGGUACCGGUACCGGGCAGCUGGUACUGA
rnacentral:lncRNA from 1 species